GGAGUUAGCCGGUGCUUCUUCUGUGAGUGAUGUCCUUCCUGCCGGCUAUUAACCCGCAGGCCUUCUUCCUCACUGAAAGUGCUUUACAACCCGAAGGCCUUCUUCACACACGCGGCAUGGCUGGAUCAGGGUUGCCCCCAUUGUCCAAUAUUCCCCACUGCUGCCUCCCGUAGGAGUCUGGGCCGUGUCUCAGUCCCAGUGUGGCUGAUCAUCCUCUCAGACCAGCUACGGAUCGUCGCCUUGGUGAGCCGUUACCUCACCAACCAGCUAAUCCGACAUAGGCUCAUCCGAUAGCGCGAGGCCCGAAGGUCCCCCGCUUUCCCCCGUAGGGCGUAUGCGGUAUUAGCCUGGGUUUCCCCAGGUUAUCCCCCACUACCGGGCAGAUUCCUAUGCAUUACUCACCCGUCCGCCGCUCGCCACCAGGGAAAGCAAGCUCCCCGUGCUGCCGCUCGACUUGCAUGUGUUAGGCCUGCCGCCAGCGUUCAAUCUGAGCCAUGAUCAAACUCUGA
rnacentral:rRNA from 1 species